rnacentral:rRNA from 1 species
UACGAAGGGACCUAGCGUAGUUCGGAAUUACUGGGCUUAAAGAGUUCGUAGGUGGUUGAAAAAGUUGGUGGUGAAAUCCCAGAGCUUAACUCUGGAACUGCCAUCAAAACUUUUCAGCUAGAGUAUGAUAGAGGAAAGCAGAAUUUCUAGUGUAGAGGUGAAAUUCGUAGAUAUUAGAAAGAAUACCAAUUGCGAAGGCAGCUUUCUGGAUCAUUACUGACACUGAGGAACGAAAGCAUGGGUAGCGAAGAGGAUUAGAUACCCUCGUAGUCCAUGCCGUAAACGAUGUGUGUUAGACGUUGGAAAUUUAUUUUCAGUGUCGCAGCGAAAGCGAUAAACACACCGCCUGGGGAGUACGACCGCAAGGUUAAAACUCAAAUGAAUUGACGGGGACCCGCACAAGUAGUGGAGCAUGUGGUUUAAUUCGAAGAUACGCGCAGAACCUUACCAACACUUGACAUGUUCGUCGCGACUCUAAGAGAUUAGAGUUUUCGGUUCGGCCGGACGAAACACAGGUGCUGCAUGGCUGUCGUCAGCUCGUGUCGUGAGAUGUUGGGUUAAGUCCCGCAACGAGCGCAACCCUCACUUUUAGUUGCCAUCAUUAAGUUGGGCACUCUGAAAAAACUGCCAGUGAUAAGCUGGAGGAAGGUGGGGAUGACGUCAAGUCCUCAUGGCCCUUACGUGUUGGGCUACACACGUGCUACAAUGGUAUCUACAACAGGAAGCAAGACUGCGAAGUUAAGCAAAUCCCUAAAAGAUACCUCAGUUCGGAUUGCACUCUGCAACUCGAGUGCAUGAAGCUGGAAUUACUAGUAAUCGUGGAUCAGCGUGCCACGGUGAAUGCGUUCCCGGGUCU